GGGUCUGUGGUCUAGGGGUAUGACACUCCCUUAGCAACAUCACCUCCGCUUCACAGCGGAAGGAGUCGCCUCAAAUGGGAGAGGUCCCGGGUUCAAUUCCCGGCGGAUCCA